rnacentral:misc_RNA from 1 species
GAUGAAGAACGUAGCGAAAUGCGAUAAGUAGUGUGAAUUGCAGAAUUCAGUGAAUCAUCGAAUCUUUGAACGCACAUUGCGCCCUUUGGUAUUCCUUAGGGCAUGCCUGUUCGAGCGUCAUUUAACCCCUCAAGCUCAGCUUGGUGUUGGGUGUCUGUCCCCGCCUCACCGCGGGGACUCGCCUCAAAAUCAUUGGCGGCCGGUACGUUGGCUUCGAGCGCAGCAGAAACGCGAACUCGAGGCCCGGCGGAUCGGCGACCAGAAGUCACUUCUUCACAGUUUGACCUCGGAUCAGGUAGGGAUACCCGCUGAACUUAAGCAUAUCAAUAACCGGAGG